AUUGAACGCUGGCGGAAUGCUUUACACAUGCAAGUCGAACGGCAGCACGGACUUCGGUCUGGUGGCGAGUGGCGAACGGGCGAGUAAUACAUCGGAAUGUGCCCAGUCGUGGGGGAUAACGUAGCGAAAGCUACGCUAAUACCGCAUACGAUCUACGGAUGAAAGCGGGGGAUCGCAAGACCUCGCGCGAUUGGAGCGGCCGAUGGCAGAUUAGGUAGUUGGUGGGGUAAAGGCUCACCAAGCCGACGAUCUGUAGCUGGUCUGAGAGGACGACCAGCCACACUGGGACUGAGACACGGCCCAGACUCCUACGGGAGGCAGCAGUGGGGAAUUUUGGACAAUGGGCGCAAGCCUGAUCCAGCCAUUCCGCGUGCAGGAUGAAGGCCCUCGGGUUGUAAACUGCUUUUGUACGGAACGAAAAGGCUCUGGUUAAUACCCGGGGCUCAUGACGGUACCGUAAGAAUAAGCACCGGCUAACUACGUGCCAGCCGCCGCGGUAA
rnacentral:rRNA from 1 species